AAUCCAGAGAUGGAUUUGUGCCUUCGGGAACUGUGAGACAGGUGCUGCAUGGCUGUCGUCAGCUCGUGUUGUGAAAUGUUGGGUUAAGUCCCGCAACGAGCGCAACCCUUAUCCUUUGUUGCCAGCGGUCCGGCCGGGAACUCAAAGGAGACUGCCAGUGAUAAACUGGAGGAAGGUGGGGAUGACGUCAAGUCAUCAUGGCCCUUACGACCAGGGCUACACACGUGCUACAAUGGCGCAUACAAAGAGAAGCGACCUCGCGAGAGCAAGCGGACCUCAUAAAGUGCGUCGUAGUCCGGAUUGGAGUCUGCAACUCGACUCCAUGAAGUCGGAAUCGCUAGUAAUCGUGGAUCAGAAUGCCACGGUGAAUACGUUCCCGGGCCUUGUACACACCGCCCGUCACACCAUGGGAGUGGGUUGCAAAAGAAGUAGGUAGCUUAACCUUCGGGAGGGCGCUUACCACUUUGUGAUUCAUGACUGGGGUGAAGUCGUAACAAGGUAACCGUAGGGGAACCUGCGG
rnacentral:rRNA from 1 species